ACUAUACAACACUACACAACGUUAUGCAACACUAUACGACACUAUAUAAGGCUAUACGAUACUAUACAAUGCCGGUUAAUUAUACUGGACUAUACGACAUUGUAUCAGACUAUACAACACUAUACGACACUACACAAUAAUACACAAGGCUAUACAACACUAUACAACACUAUACAACACUAUACAACGUUAUACAAAACUAUACAACAUCAUAUAUAAGGCUAUGCGACACUAUA